rnacentral:lncRNA from 1 species
AGACAUUCAAAACUGGACAAUUUAUUGAACCAGAAAUCAAAACUAUAAAGCUACAUUAAUUAGGAUGGUGUAAUAUUGGUACAAGAAGACAAACAGGCCAAAGGAAAAGUCAAAAGAGCCCAGAAACAGACCCCCCCCCCGCCACCCCACAUAGACAUUUUAUGACAAAAGCAUAGCACCGGGAAAUGCAAAUGUUUUCAAUAAAUGGUGCGGAUUGGUCCACUAAAUGUGUAAAGUAAAACAGUGAAACUUUUGGAAUAACACAGAAUAUCUUCAUGACCUUGAUAAUAAUUUCCUCAAUAGGGCAUGGUAGCAACUAUGCCUGAAGGAAAAAAAGACUGAUAAAUUGGACUACCUUAACAUUAAAAACUUGUUUUCAGCUGAAGAUCUCAAGAGUGAAAAGCCAGAGUGGGAGAAGAUAUAGGCAAUGCUUAUAACCCAAAAGGUUCCAUAACAGGAAUAUAUCUUUUAAAAAUUCCUAUAAAUCAAUAACAACAAGGGAAAAUAAUGGCCAAAAGAUUUAAAUUGUUAUUUCACAAUACGUAUAUUAGGAAAUCUUUAGGACACAGGUGUGGAUAAAAGAAUGUUGCCCCCACCAAGCCAUCAGCCACUGCAGCCACCCCUGAAGGUGCACCCUGAGGGGAAUUCAGGACAGAGAAAAACAGGACACUGGUACUAGAUAAUUAAGAUCCAUAUCUAGGGAAUAAUUUCCGUGAGACUCCUCCCCUUCGUAGAAAAACACUAAAAUCAUUACCUGGUAAUGUCUGUUUUUUUGUGUGAUUAUGGUAAUCUUUUGAUGUUCUACUACAUGUUUUUGUUGUUGUUGCUGUUGUUGUUUUGUUUGUUUCUGUUUUGUUGUUGUUGUUGUUUUUCCCCAGCAAAAACUCCUAUGUAUCGUGAUUCCUCCCUUACCUCUUUGGAAUCGUUCCUUAGGACUGAGAGUUGUCUCCAGGGCCAUAAUCCUCAGUAAGUUCCUCAAAUAAAAUAUAACUUGCAACUUUUAGUUUGUGCAUUUUUCUUCAGUUGAUUCAGGAAGUACACAUUAAAAUGAUACCAUCACACAUCUACCAGAAUGGCUGACAAAAUCAAAUCUAGACAAGGAUAUGGGACAAUUGGAAUUCAUAAACUGCUGGUGGGAGUUUAAAUCAGUAGGACUGCUUUGGAAAACUGUUUGGCAGUACCUGAUAAAGAUAUCUCUAUUCCUAUGACCCAUAUAUUCUAAUGAUCCAGUAAUUUCAUUUAUAAUUCCAUACCAACAGAAAUGCAUUCUUGUGUACAUCAAAAGACAUGUACAUAAAUAUUUCUGGUAGCAUUAUGUAGUAUGCAAAAACUGGACACUCAAAUGACAGAUAGCAGAAUAAACUGUAAGACAUUCUUUUUUUCUUUUUAGGGCUGCACCUGCGGGAUAUGGAAAUUCCCAUGCUGGAGGUUGAAUCGGAACUGCAGCUGGUGGCCCACACCACAGCCACAGAAACACAGGAUCUGAGCCUCAUCUGCAACCUACACCACAGCUCACAGCUGAGUGAGGCCAGGGAUUGAACUUGCAACCUCGGGUUCUUAACCCAAUGAGCCACAAUGGGAACUCCCUGUAAGAUAUAUUCACUCAAUGAAAUACAGUUAACUGAGCAAGGGAAAUGAAUAAAUGACAGCUACAGUUAAUUCCCCUUUCUAUCUCGAUUAUAUCCUAGCCCUUCAUUCAAUCCUUCUCUUGUUCCUUCAUUAUUUAAAUCCUUCUCUUGUUCCUUCAUUAUUUAAAUCCUUCCGUUGUUAUGUACCCACCUUUUUAUUGUGUAGUUGAUUUACAGUGUCAAUUUCUGCUGCACAGCAAAGUAAUUCAGUAAUACAUACACAUUUCCUUUUUAUUAUUUUCCAUUAUGGUUUAUCUCAGGAUUAGUUUCCUGUGCUAUACAGUAAGACCUUAUUGUUUAUCCAUUCUACAUGUAAUAAUUUGCAUCUGCUAACCCCAACUCCCUUGGCACUCACAGUCUGUUCUCUAUGUCUGUGAGUCUGUUUCUUAGAUAGGUCAUCUCUGAUUCCACCCAUAUUGCUGAGAAUGGCGUUAUUUCAUUCUUUUCUUAUGGCUGUAUACACACACACAUAUACAUCUUCUUUAUUCAUUCAGCUGCUGAUAGACACCUCUUUCUAAAAGUGGGUGGGGUAACAAUGAAUUUAUAUGCUCCACAGUUCUUAAAAGAGAUAAGAAACCCAACAGAAAAGGACUGCAAUUCCAGUUAACCAGGAAAAGGCUAAACCUUGUCUCCAGGGAAUUUAUGCUGAGGUCAAUUACUCUCCCAAACUCUUGAAUCAUCUCAGGCAAGGGUUGCUUUGGUUCCUCUUCCCACUCCACCUCUUCACCCUUCUUUCUCACAACCCUUUAAACAUGUAAAACCAGUCUUACCCUGAGGCAGGCUGUGGACGUUGCAAGAAGCCACACUGUACCUAAGGCAGCCCCCACAUUCUCCUUGAUGAGUGGAGUGGAUCCAAAUCUACCAACUAGUCAAAACUGCACACUACAGUGUCUAGCUGUUCCUUUCCUCGCCAACUGUAGAUCGUCAAAACCUGAGUGGAGAAUAACUAAAGUGGAAAGAUGCAAAGCAAAGGAUUUUACAAGACCAAGUGUUAGUGCCCUGGUUCUGCUAUUUGGGACGCCUAUGACCUUGGGCAACAUAGUCUCCAUCAUGCCAAGGAUGUUACACAACUGUGCCUAGUACUCAGUCGUGACAGGGAUAACAGAGCGUGUUAAGGAGAUUGUGCCUGUAUACACAUGACCUGUCACUGUUUUCACAAUGAGGGAAACUUCUCCCAACCAGUGAGUGAGUGAACAGUUUGCUCUUUAAUAUUUUUUUUUCUGAAAAAAGAAAGAAAAAGAAAACGGCACAUGGUGCUAUUCAGAAUUUUAAACAGUAACAGGUAAUCAAUAUGUAAGAAAAUGGAUCCGUUUCCCACAAAACAAAUCUUUGCAAGUGUGCUUGGAAACACAAAAACACAUCUGACUAUGUGUAAAAAAAAAAAAAAAAAAAAAAUAGCCUAACCAUUACCUUCAUCAAAAGAUAAGAAAUUACGUUUGAAUAAUUUUUCUUUUUGCCUUUUAAAUUAGACAAAUUAAAAGUGGAUACAUUUACCUGCCAUUCAACUAGCAAACAGAUGAAAAGAGAUCAGCCACCACUAGGUGCUGCUCAGGAAGCGACUCUUUUAAUCUGCCUUUUCCUUUCAAAGAAAACCUGAAACCUGACAAAUGCUUACUGAGUUCAUUCAUUUUCAGAAAAAAUAUGUUAAAUAA